rnacentral:rRNA from 1 species
GAUGAACGCUGGCGGCGUGCCUAAUACAUGCAAGUCGAGCGAACAGAUAAGGAGCUUGCUCCUUUGACGUUAGCGGCGGACGGGUGAGUAACACGUGGGUAACCUACCUAUAAGACUGGAAUAACUCCGGGAAACCGGGGCUAAUGCCGGAUAACAUUUAGAACCGCAUGGUUCUAAAGUGAAAGAUGGUUUUGCUAUCACUUAUAGAUGGACCCGCGCCGUAUUAGCUAGUUGGUAAGGUAACGGCUUACCAAGGCAACGAUAGGUAGCCGACCUGAGAGAGUGAUAGGCCACACUGGAACUGAGACGGCGUCCAGACUCCUACGGGAGGCCGCAGUAGGGAAUCUUCCGCAAUGGGCGAAAGCCUGACGGAGCAACGCCGCGUGAGUGAUGACGGUCUUCGGAGCGUAAAACUCUGUUAUUAGGGAAGAACAAAUGUGUAAGUAACUGUGCACGUCUUGACGGUACCUAAUAAGAAAGCCACGGCUAACUACGUG